rnacentral:lncRNA from 1 species
CUAUAAGUGGUCCUAUUGGCAGAAGUUCCGGAAACAUGGUGAAUGCGUCAGACUCGAGCUCAUAUGUUGAGUUACAAAAGUGGAAAUUUACCGCCAUCAUUGCUCUGCUGUUUCUUUCCAGUAAAUCAAAAAAAAUCUUUUGCGUGGUCAAGUCACCAAUAUGUGCCCAAAAACAGUCUCUAGAGUUCAUUUCAGGCAUCUUUGGUGCAAUUCGAAACAUCUGCAUGCUCAUAGGAGUUCCUGAAGUUGAAUACAAAACAAAGAAAAUAACAGUAGCAUAAAGUAAACUACUACUAUGACAUGCAUCAAAAUUAAAGUUUGCUGGAGGAAAGUAAGGAAUUAAAUGACAUGGAAUCAUACCGUGACUGUCAAUGAUUCCAUCAUCAAUAAGUUUGGGGAUACGAAAUACAAAGGCCACUGAUGCUGCCGAUGAAGGCCAAAAGACAGCCCCCCUGACGUUCAUCUUUUUUGCUACCUCCAUAGACCAACCCGUGUUCCCAUCUGCAAUGAAACAAUCAAUUUUUUCAUCUUCUCUACUGUUGAUCUCUUCUAUGAGCUUCUCCAGCUUCCCCGGCAUAACCUGUAAACAUUUUUCAAUUAGCUUUCCCAAAUCGUUUCUAUCUUCCCAGGGUUCCAUCCCAUCUGGGAUCGAAACCAAACGGAUUUGCUCCGCAAGAUAAUUCUUUCCCUCCAAUGAUUCCACUACCCGCUUGUGAUCAUACUCCGUAUUAACGAAUGUGACUCGGAAGCCAUGUUUUGCCAGACAUUGCGAAAACUCCAGUAAAGGAAUUACAUGGCCCUGUGCUGGAGCAGGCAUCACCAAAACGUGUGGACGGCUCAUUUUCUUUUUUAUUUUUACCUCACUGAUUCGGUUUCUAUCAAUAUAUAAUAUUAUAAUUUGCAACACACGAGUGGUGUUGAUUACGGGGAGGGUUGCAGGUUGGGGCCGGGUUUUCUCAAGAUCAGAUCCAUAUAAUUGAUACUAGAUCCAGUUUUGUGAAUGUUCAUCGAAUUUGAACGGGUUUGGGCCUGGGCCUGACUUGGGCCUUCAAUAAUUUUGUUAAAUAAAUUUUUAAUUAAGCUAUAUGUUAAAAAAAUAUUUAAAUUAAGAUGAUUAUUAUUAUUAAACAAAAAAAAAAUAUUAAUUGCUCCCCUGAAUGGGCCUAGGUCGGUCACCUCUGAGCAAAUAUUUGCAUUUAUUUUUCUUCAUUCCUUUUUCUCUUCUUCUUAUUAUUUAUUAUUGUAAAUUAAAAUUAUUUAUUUUGUAGAUAUUAAUUAUGUUUAUGUAUUGUAAUUUACAUAGAAACUUAAGACUCAUAUUUAUUAAAAAUGAUGUUAAUCCAGAAUGGAUCAAUGGAUUUAACUCUUUCAAUUAAAAAUGAUUUUUUUAAUUUUGUUUUAUUUUUUAAUUUAUAAAUUAAAGAGCCUAGGUUUUUUGCAAAAUCCUUUGACCAGGGCACUCAGAGUGGGUUUUAAAUUUUUUAGCCAUAUCCAUGAUUUUAUGAUGCUAGCUCCAACCUAUACUUUUUUGCAGAUCCUAAUUAAGAGUGAUAUUCUAGCUUAAGAUUUUUAUUUCAAUUCUAUUUGAGUCAAAUGAAAUAAGUAUAAGUUUAAAAAUAUUGAUUUAUUUAAGAAAUAAGUGAAUUUAUUUUGAUUCAUUAAAUAAACGAUUAAAUCUAGGUUUGAGUUCACUUAUUCGAUUAUUCGGUUAAAAUUUAUUUAUUAAUCAAGCCAUAAAUAAAUAGAAUAAUAAAUGACCUUUUUAACAUAAUUACUUUUUUACCAUUAAAAUUCAAAAAUCUUGUUAGAACAUUUUCAAGGUAUACGGUUAGUUUUGUAAUUAUGAAAGAUAAUAAGCCAAACAAGAAAAUGAAAGCAAAGGCAUCAUUACUCAUUAGCCGACCCUAGCUCCACUCUUCAGCACUUGAAUUUGAACACCUGUUUCUUUAUUUCCCAAAUGAAAACGAUCGCCAAACCAAACACUCCCAAAAAAUCAAAUCAAUGGUCUCAUCCAAACUUUUUCGACAAGGUUCACUUCUCUUGUCUAUGGCAAUGACAAGACUUUUUUUUUUUUUUUUUAUUACAUGAGAUUAUUGCUUAAAUUAUAGUUUAAAUUACAACUCAUAUUACAUGAGAGUAUAAUUGAUAUGUACAAUCAUAUAUUUAUACUGAGUCCUGUUGAUAUUAAUGCUGAUAUGACACCGCUCAGAUUUUUAACCCUCUCAAAUAUUCGAGGGAUGUCAAACUCCCAUCCUGGGAGAAAGACUCACUCGAACUCAAACGCUCCAAAAAAAAUAUUUAAAUUAAACCCCUACAAUGCGAUUGCGGAAGCUCGAACCUCUUCCCUCACAAAUGUGAGGGAGGGGUUUUAACCACUUGGGCUUACAUUACAAGACCUUGAAUGGCUACAAUUGGGAUUCUUUUGCUGCUUUUGUCCCCCGCGUGGGAAUUAUUGAUCUCAAUGUUUUGUCGAUUACAAAACAGUGAUUAAGCCUGCUAUUCAGCUUAGAGAUGGCAAAAUUUGGAUUCAAAUUUCGAUGUAACACACAUUUUGAAACUGAAAAAGGUUCAAUAUAGUUACUGCUCCCUGUUGGCAAAUAUGAUAUCAAAGACAGAUACACAAAUAGUCAAAUAUCGACCUGCAUAGGUUAAAAAAAUCAAAAAUGAAAAUGAAGAAUCAUAAAAUUGCAGCAAAUUUAAAUAGCCGUGCAUUCAAUUUCAAAGCAUAAAUGACAUUGAUAUCAAAUCCAAAAUUGAAAGUUUUCCAAAUGCAAAGGACAGAUAAGCCCAAGUGUAAAAGAAAACUAUCAAAUAUCAUUGUAAAUUUAAAUACCCAUCAUACAGAUUUCACCACCUGAAUUUAGGGUAAUUUUUAGAGGCUUCUCUUGAGAUUUGAUGUAUUAACACUUAGAUAGAAAGUAUAACCGUAAUUAUAAAGGCAUCCCCGUCUAUUGUAUUUCCAUUCAAUGACUGUUAGCAGAUCAAUGAAAUGACCAAAAUACACCCUAAAUUUGAAAACACUCUUAUAACAACCACUAGGGUAUUGUUCGUUAAUAGAAUAAAAUAUGUUUUGCUCCUAGUACACGGAUAAAAUAAAAAUAAAUAAAUAAACCAUAACAACCAAAUACAUUACAUACUCAUUAAUUGGAAAAAAAAAUAAAAAAUAUUGGUGAAGAAUUUAACAAUUUCUGAACUUCAAUUAAGAAAAUCAUAUUUGUUUCAAGCAGUUAAAAAAUAAAAAUAGUAUUUCUAUCACAAAACACUCCAUUCUUAACAUUUUUUUUUUCUUAUAGUUCUAUUGAGAUUUACAAAACAACAUAACAUUAGAAAAGAAAAUAUAUAGAUUUAUAGUUGAAGUUACAAACACAAAAAUGUACCAAGUGCAAAAAACAAUUUGAUACAGAACCAACUGAAGAGCUUUUUUGGUUCUUAAGAAUGCUACCAGUUGCACAAUAUUUUGCAGCCAUUUCCUUUGCCUUAAGAAAUUCUUGUCCAACUCUAACUUCAAUCAUUGCCCUUUUCUCUUAUGCUUCUUUGUUUAGUAAAAUCUAUCUUAUUUUUCAUUUUUUAAGCAUAUUCUACCUUCUUCCUUUCUAAUAGUUCCUGUUAAUUACUCAAUAUGUUGAAGAAGAAUCUUAUUAUUUAUAAAUAUGGAAAUUAUCAUUGCACCACUUUUUUUUGCCUUAUAUAUCCAACCACCAUAAAAUUCUAACAUGUUCUCUACACUACAUUUCUUUUUAAAUUUGUAUCAACUAGCCACUUUCUAACUAGCACCGUUAAAUAAUUUAAAUGAAAUGAUAAUUUUACCCCUAAAUAAAUUAAAAGACAUUUUAUCUUAUAAAAGAUUUGAAAAAUAAAAAAUUAUAAUUAUAAAAAUAACCUAAGUUUAAUUAAAAAAUAAAUCCCAAAAUUAGAAUUUUUAUUUUUAAUAAAAAUCUAAAUAAAAAUUAUAAUUAUAAAAAUAAUUGUAAAAUUUUGGGAUUUAAUAAAAAUCCCCUAAAUUAUUAAAAUUUUGGGACUUAUUUUUUAAUAAAUAAAUUCUGUUAUUUUAAUAAAAUUUUGCAAAAUUAUAAUUUUUAAUAAAAAUAAUUAUUAAAAUUUAGCAAAAUUUAAAUUAAAUAAAAAUCAGUUGAGCACCUCUGUUUGGGAUUUAUUUAUUUUAUUAAAUUUAGGGGUAUUUUUAUAAUUAUAAUUUUCUUAUUUUUCAAAGUUUUACAAAUAAUAUGGUCUUUUAAUUUAUUUAGGGGUAAAAUUUUCAUUUCAUUUAAAUUAUUUAACGGUGUUAGUUAAAAAGUGGCUAGUUGAUACAAAUUAAAAAAAAAAAAAGGGGGUGCAGAGAACAUGUUAGAAUUUUUUGAUGGUUGGAUAAACAUAAGGUUGGUGCAGAGAACAUAUUAUAAUUUUAUGAUUGUUGGAUGAACAUAAAGCAAAAGAGAGGUGGUGCAAUGAUAAUUUCCCUUAUAAUAAUGUGAGAUUAACCGAAAGCACACUAAAAUGCCAACCCAAAGGACUUUUAUGGUUGUGGGGAAUUCUUUUAAAAACAAAAGCAAUUAAAAUUGAGCUUAUAUUAUGUGUAAAAAAAAAAAAAGAAGGGUGAAUCGGCAUUAACACAUAAAUAAGUAAUGCAUUUCAGGAUAAUCAAGAGCUCCAUAAGUUUGUUUCUAGGCAAAAAUAUAUUUAAUUAAACAUAUCAUAGCAAAGUCAGUAUUUCAUUUUUAAUCAUCUCAUAACAGAACGAAAUCCUAAGCAAUUAUUAGGAAAGAACUAUAAUGAAUAGUGUUUAAAUGAGAAAUCAAACUCAAAGUUUUAUGAAAUUUAGAUCAAACAUAAGUUUACGGACAAAGACUUAUAGUAUCUGGAUAUUCACAACUAGUGCACACUGAUCAAGUUACAGACAGAUACACAAUAUAUAUAUAUAUAUAUAACAUUUAAAACCCAUUUAAAUCGUAUUUGCGAAUAAACUCACUUAAAUCUUAAAUUGUAAUCACAAAUACGAUUCCAAAAAUUAAUUUCAUUAAAAAAAUCUCAAUUUUUUUUAUUUAAUUUUAUUAUAAAAAUUUGGAAUUAUAUUUGCGAUUACAAACCUAAAACCCACUUUUGUUUAACGUAGAAAUCACAUGAAAAUAAUUGAUUUAUAAUACACAAUGGUUUGUUUAGCUCAUCACUAUUGCAAAUUACACUAAAACACAUGCAACAACUUCUUUAACAACUCAAACACUGCAUUAAAUCCAUUUUCAAACACAACAUCAAAUCAACCAAAAGGCUCUAACUUUAACAUUAUUUGAAAAUUUUCAACUUUUAUGAGGUUUAAUAACUCAUUCGUUCCUUAACUGUCGCCAGCAAUGGCCAACCAACGAUAGCAUUUUCCCGCCGCCAUCACUUCGUUGUUCAUCACUCUUCUUUCAAACUGGGGCUUCUUCGAAUUUGAGCUUCAUUUGGCGAGGUUAGAAGCAUAAAGAGAAAAGUUUGGGCAUGUUUGAGACUUUGAGUGGAUGAGUUGAUCGCUAAUUAGCUUGUGUUUGGAAGAUGAAAGAGAAGAUAUGUCCAAUGCAUCUUUGGAACCAGUGGAUAAUGAAGUGCUCAACGGUCAACUCAUCAUGAGGCUGCUUUUGAUUUUUUCAAAAUUUUAGAUAGUUUUUUUUAUGAAAUUACCCUUAUUCAUUGACAAGAUACUAAAUGAAAUAUAAACGGCAGGGGAGAUAUUUAAUAGUGCGUUCAUACUUUUUAUCUAAGUGUUAAUAUGCUAAAUCUCAAGGAAAAUCCCUAAAAAUUACCUCAUGAAUUUAAAUACCUUUUUACUUGUGCUUUUAUGCUAGUUAACAAGCUGCUAUGUUACCAUUGCAUGUAAUAAGAAUGUUAGUUUAGGUUAAAUUUGGGGUUUUAACACUGUAGAAGUGUCCGAAUAUUGAUGAAAAGUUGCUUGUUUUGAUCUAAUUUCCAUGUGAGUAAGUUGAUUGUUUCAUUCUAAUUUCCAUGUGAUUAAGCUAAAGAAACAAUUGCAAGUUAAAAUUUUUCGGUUUUUAUGUGAUUUUAAUCUUUAAAAAAAUGGGUUUUAGGUUAUUUCCACCAUUCUUGAACCUGUGUUUUGAUGUGAAAAACAAUGUAAAGUUCAAAUUGGUGUUAAAAAUAUUUGUAGGUUAUUUUGAUGUUAAAAAAGAGUUUACAUCUAUAAAUCAAUUUUUGAAUUGCAAUUGAUUAUUCCAUUAUUAAGAUUUCGCAUACGUUUCCUUGAAAUUCAGGGGAACGCACUUUAUUGAAAUUUGAUUGUUAUAUUGGUAAUUUCUAAGUAUGGAUAGAUUUAAAUAAAUGUGUUUCCUUGAAAUUUGAAUCAUUGAAGUGAUCUCUAUAAGGAAUUGUAUGCUUGUUAUAUUUUUCUAUGGUUGGACAGCUGCGAUUUGUAAUUACAUUUUUCUUUAUAAAGGAAUUCCCUUAUGGAGGAUGAUGAGAUGCAAUAGUUUCAUGUUUUGUAAAGUUUCAUCAUGGUAAUAGCGGGUAGGUCUGAUCAAACUUCUAUGUUGUAAGAAAAUUAGAUUCUGAUUAAUUUGAGAUUGAAUGCGUGAGGUGGGGAAUAUUGAAUUUUUGAGGAGGGAUUGUUUUUUAUUUGUGCUUGUUAAGGGUAAAAAUUAUUUUGGCAGUGGUUAGCUUCAUAGUUUGUUGCUAGAAAAAUUAAUAUCGAAUUAAGUUUGAUUCUUAAAACAAGAAAAAGUAGAGUAUGAGAAUUUGAUUCUUACGUUUUAAUAAUAUAUGUGUUAUUACAUUGGUCAUUAAGUUUGGAGGCUAAUUUCUUCUUAUGAAAUAUUAUAUCUUAAUAUUUUGUACUAUUAUGUUAUAUGUGCACAUUAAACUCUUAUUAGUGAGGUGAGUCAUCAUGCUUGAAAUUUUUUGAACUUGGUUUCUCUAUAGAAUUGUAUUGAUUUCCUUUAUAAUCCCCACAUGUUUAGAUCCAAUUUGCCUCAUGAUCUUUUAUUUUAUUACCAUACUGUGUAAGAAGACUUACUUUAAAUUACCUUUCAACUUGGUACUGUGGAUUCUCUUUGUUUUUAUGCUAAAAGCUUUUGUGCUCUACUCGUAGGUGUUUUCAAGUUGGCGUUGUUCCUUGAUACAGCUUGAAGGAUGGUUUUUCUCUCUCAGAUUUUGUCUAUGCUUUCCUGAGAAUGUAGUGAUUUCAUUUCCAUCAAGAUGCAAGUAUACCUAAAAAAAAUUAAGAUUUUAUAAUUUUAAAUAUUAAUUAGUUCUCAUAUAUGUGUGUGUGCGAGCGUGUGUGUCUAUCAUCAGUGCAAUAGCAAUUCCUUCAUUGUGGCUCUGAGUCGUUGUUGAUCUGCUUGAUGUUUUUGAACUUUGUGAAUCCAUGAUUUCAAUUUGAUUGUAAUAUUUAUAACUCUGAAAUUGAAUGUAGAGUUGAGCCAUGAAUAAUAGACAUAAUUUGUGUGUACCUUGGGAGGCAAAUGAAGCAUAUGCGGGGUGUGAGAGAUGGUUUGGAAAUGUAACAUAUUUAUAAACAUUGAUCUACCAAUAUAACCUUUAGUUACCAUAUCUUUUUUUAGAAAAAAAAAAAAUCGGGUUGAUUGGUACUAUGGGUAUUUUGGUCAUUUUAACAGUUCACUAACAGUUAAUGACGGUAGGGGAGGUAAGUGAGAGUACAAAGAAACUCGCUAUUUAAGUGUAAUUACCUCAAACCUCAGGGGAGGUUUCUAAAAAUAACCCCCAAAUAUUGAUAACACAAAUUCUUUAUUAAAGAAAAAUAAAAAAAAAGGGAAUUAUUGAUAGUACCACUAAUUCAAGCUUGAAUCAGUAAUUUUUGUCAAACCUUUGGUUACCAUAUCUUUUUGUUCUUUGGGUCCGGAUAUAUUUUCAAUAGCAUAAUCGGUAAAUCUCUUAGUAUAAUCAUUUUGUAUAUGAAAAUUUUGCAUUUACCCUUAAACAAUAUUUUUUUCUUGUCAAUAUUUUGGGCCAAAUGGUAAAACUAAGAAUGAGAAAUUCAUUCUCCCUUAAUAAAAUUAAAUAUGCAUAAUUGAAUCUUCUACAUUUUACCCCUUUUGUGCAAAGAAUCUUGGAAUCAAUUUGAUCUUUAAUCCAGGUCUUUGUGUAAAUUAAACUCAUGUGCUUUUAAAUAUAGAAUUUUGAUUGAAUGAUCUACUAAGUAAUAAUAGAUGUAGCUAGAAAAAGAAUUUACAUUUUGAUCUCUCAGAGAAUACAAGCAAUGCCCCUUGGGGUUUGUCCCCAACCUUGAUCAUCAUCUUCAUCAUUUUUAGAUGAUUAUGAGAGGAAAAGCAACUGGCUCAAACGUUGUAACAAUGAAGUGUCCAAAUUUCAAGCUGCGAUGGCUUUUCUUGCAGCUCUGAGUAGGCCGUAUAAGCUCCCUUGGCCCUCUCAAUUUUCAUUGCAGCAUCGUGUGCCUCUGGCAUUUCUUCACUCACUUCCUGAUCUUCUACCGAUACCGAUAUUCCUUCAUCACUUAGAACCUCAUGUUUUCUUUCUGCUGCUGCCAUAUUCAAAUAUUAGUACCAAUAAGCCUCGGUUUGUUCAUAUGUAAGAAGGUGUUUCGGUAUCAUUCUUUUUAACUUAUUUGUCUUCUCGCUUUUAUAGCAAUGCUAAUUUUAGCAUCGCACUCUGCUACAACUCAUGCUGAUCAAAAUGUUUCAUAUGAUUUCAAUUUUCCUCGUCCCCUCUUUUGCAUAGCACUGAUCGAAUUCCUAGUAUAGAUUCCUUCAUCUGCAGCAAGGCGUUCUGAGAAGUGCGCAAACAUCCAAGAUCCUCAAAGAUCCAUUCAACAGCUCAUCAACCCUUUUCUUCUUCUGGUGGACGUGGGCUAAAGCUUGUUGAACGGGGGGCAAUUGAAGUAUUUUUUUUCUACAGAAUCUCAUGAAUCUUGAAGGCAGUUCAAUUCAUGGCCUAAUGAUGAAGUAGAAGCAGCUUGAGGAGUCCUUAAUAUUCUCAAAUGCUCUUCAACUUCUGAAGUCUGUGGGUGUGAUCUCGUGGAAAGCUGUUUGGUAAGAGGCAGCCAUCGCUUUUGUUGCUGUGAAUUAGAAGACUAGAAGUUGAUUACCCUGUGCUCAAAUCUCAAAAUGUAUAGCACGAGAUGAGGGAACAACAGGUAUCUCAUCUUCUUAAAAUAAAAAGAAACAAUAACAUGAUUUCAAGCUUGAUCUAAAUAGUAUAUCGGCUACUUUUAGGCUCAGUCUCCUCCCAAACCAGCAUCCUCUCUCAGUUUUUUUAGCCGCUAAUCUCACUAGUAUCUUCUCGUAAGCUAAUACUAAAUAAACAAAUGUUUCCGAGUGAUCCAUAAAAUAAGCAAUACAAGGAUGGCAUCAAUUCUGUUUCCUCUUCUAAAAUGCAAGAGACGGUAAUCCAGUUUGGCUUGCCUCCCCGCGGGAAACGGGGUGGCUGUGAAACUCGUGCGUCCUUGCAGAAUUGAUUUAUUUGAACUGGAUAUAAUAUGCAAAAUCUGCAGUGCAUGGAUGGAGUUGAGGCUGCACCUUGAAUGCAUGGAUGGGUAGUUAAGUCGCCAAAUUAAAACAGGCCCAAAAAGGAUCCGCAGUGUUCAUUGCAGGCAUAUUUGGUGCCAAAUGAAUCACUUGUUUCUUAAGAGAUAUUCAUUGUCUGCUAUGAAAAAAAUUACCAAAAUAGGAAAACAAAUUAAAUUAAAACUCAAUUAAAUAAAAUAAUCCUAAACUCUAUAAACUUAAUAAAAAAACUUAGAAGAUAGAUGUCACAAUGGCCAAGGAAUUCUUAUAUAAUUGUCUAUGAAGGUAGUAUUUUUUGAAUUAGCUGCCCAGUACCUGGGAGCCAUGUGCCAGUGCUUAUGUCUUUACCCAUUGGAGGAAAUUCUGAAAUGUCUUGUAAGAGGAACCACCUUCUCUGACACUACUGAUGGCUUUUUCCUUGAGUUCCAAAGCCCGUGCUUUAAAAUAUUGAUCACCAAGCACUUGAUCCACCUUGUUCUUAAUUUCUUCUCUUGUAAUGAUGCCACUUUCGUCUCUGUCAAACUUCAAUCCCACCUUCCAAAAAUCACAAAUGUAUCUCUCGUUCAGGAAUUGAUCAGCAGAAUAUGGCCAGCACAAGAAAGGAAUGCCAUUGCUGACACCUUCCAUGGUGGAAUUCCAACCACAAUGGCUCAGGAAACAGGCAAUAGAAGGGUGGUUAAGAACCUUCUGCUGAGGUGCCCAGCUGAUCAUCUGUCCUCGAGCAGCAACUCUCUCUUGAAAUCCUUCUGGGUAUCUAUCAUUUGCAUCAGUAGUAAUAUCUGGCCUCACAACCCAUAAAAAUGGUCUGUUGCAAAGUUCUAGUCCCAAUGCUAAUUCUUGAAACUGAACUUGGUCAAGAAUUGUAAGGCUGCCAAAAGCAGCAUAAAUGACAGAGCUUGGUUGCUGUUGGUCUAGCCAUUUCAAACAGUUUGAAUCUUCGCGCCAGAAGUAUCCUGCUGAAUUCCCUUGGCGGUUGCUUGCUAUAAGUGGUCCUAUUGGCAGAAGUUCCGGAAACAUGGUGAAUGCGUCAGACUCGAGCUCAUAUGUUGAGUUACAAAAGUGGAAAUUUACCGCCAUCAUUGCUCUGCUGUUUCUUUCCAGUAAAUCAAAAAAAAUCUUUUGCGUGGUCAAGUCACCAAUAUGUGCCCAAAAACAGUCUCUAGAGUUCAUUUCAGGCAUCUUUGGUGCAAUUCGAAACAUCUGCAUGCUCAUAGGAGUUCCUGAAGUUGAAUACAAAACAAAGAAAAUAACAGUAGCAUAAAGUAAACUACUACUAUGACAUGCAUCAAAAUUAAAGUUUGCUGGAGGAAAGUAAAGAAUUAAAUGACAUGGAAUUAUACCGUGACUGUCAAUGAUUCCAUCAUCAAUAAGUUUGGGGAUACAAAAUACCAAUGCCACUAAUGCUGCUGAUGAAGACCAAAAGACAGCCCCCCUGACGUUCAUCUUUUUUGCUACCUCCAAAGACCAACCCAUGUUCCCAUCUGCAAUGAAACAAUCAAUUUUUUCAUCUUCUCUACUGUUGAUCUCUUCUAUGAGCUUCUCCAGCUUCCCCGGCAUAACCUGUAAAAAAUUUUCAAUUAGCUUUCCGAAAUCGUUUCUAUCUUCCCAGGGUUCCAUCCCAUCUGGGAUCGAAACCAAACGGAUUUGCUCCUCUAGAUAAUUCUUUCCCUGCAAUGAUUCCACUACCCGCUUGUGAUAAUAAUCCGUAUUAACGAAUGUGACUCGGAAGCCAUGUUUUGCCAGACAUUGUGAAAACUCCAGUAAAGGAAUUACAUGGCCUUGUGCUGGACCAGGCAUCACCAAAACGUGUGGGCUGCUCAUUUCCUUUUUUAUUUUUACCUCACUGGUUUGGUUUCUAUCAACCUUGUGCUUUUAUAGGGAUUGUGAGGAGCAGCUCAGCAGCCCAUGUUCGGUUUUCUGUCUUUCUUUUCGUACAAGUAGUAUGUUAUAUGUGUUUAAUUUUGAACCUCAAGCUGGUUAGUGGUUAUCUUCUUAUCUCCCGUUUUUAAGUUCUUUUUGUUCACCCCUUUGUUUUGUUUCCUUCUGCGGUUUGGGUGAUAUGUUUGCUUUUGAACAAACUGCGCCGUUAGAUCCAACGUUUAAAGCAGGAUGCUCGGCUCCAACUUUUCUGGACCCCAAUUUUUAAUGCUCUGUCUACAAUAACUUUUCUGGUUAGUGGUUAUCUUCUUAUCUAUGGUACAGAUUCUGUAACGAACAUCUCCCGUCAUCCCACCAUCCCAUUUUGUAUUGUUUAGUUUCUCACUCCACAUCCAGCCACAUCCAACGGCUGAUGCUGCAGUCUGUAGCUUACAGAUUCUGUAAGCUAGUCAAGUCCUAACUAAAUAAGGUAACUAAAACAAUUUUUCACAUCCUUCCACUAGCAUCUGCUCAAUAUAUAAUAUUUUAAUUUGCAACACACGAGUGGUUUUGAUUACGGGGAGGGUUGGCAAUUUAUAGGUUUGGGCCGGGUUUUCUCAAGAUCAGAUCCAUAUAAUCGAUAUGAGGUUCAGGUCCUGUGAAUGUUCAUCCAACUUGAGCGGGCUUGGGCUUGGGACUUCAAUAAUUUUGUUAAAUAAAUUUUUAAUUAAGUUGUAUGUUAAAAAAAUUUAAAUUAAGAUGAUUAUUAUUAUUAAACAAAAUAAAUAUUAAUUGCUCCCUUGAAUGGGCCUGAACCAGUCACCUCUAAGCAAAUAUUUGUAUUUUUUUUCUUUAUUCCUUUUUCUCUCUUUUUAUUAAUUAUUAUUGUAAAUUAAAAUUAUUUAUUUUUUAGAUAUUAAUUAUGUUUAUGCAUUGUAAUUUACACAGAAGCUUAAGACUCAUGUUUAUUAAAAAUGAUGUUAAUCCAGAAUGGAACGAGAAAUUUAACUCUUUCAAUUAAAAAUGAUUUUUUAAUUUAUAAAUUAAAGAGCCCAAACUUUUUCCAAAAGCCUUUAACCCCGAGUGAGCUUUAAAUUUUUUAGCCAUAUCCAUGAUUUUAUGAUGCUAGGUCCAACCCAUACUUUUUUGCCGACCCUAAUUAUGGGUGAUACUCUAGCUUAGGAUUUUUAUUUCAAUUCUAUUCGAAUCAAAUUAAAUAUGUAAAGGAAUGAAAUUAUUAAUUUAUUUAAUAAAUAAGCAAAUUUAUUUUGAUUCAUUAAAUAAACGAUCAAACCUAGGUUUGAGUUCACUAAUUCAAUUAUUCGUUUAAAAUUUGUUUACUAAUCAGGUCAUAAAUGAAUAGAAUAAUAAAUGACAUUUUUAACAUAAUUACUUGUUUUCCAUUAAAAUUCAAAAAUCUUGUUAAUACAUUUUCAAAGUAAAUUAGUUUUGUAAUUAUGAAAAGAUAAUAAGCCAAAAAAGAAAAUGAAAGCAAAGGCAUCAUUACUCAUUAGCCGACCCUAGCUCCACUCCUAGUUUACUUAUAUAGGAUAACGGAUUUGACUAAUUGUGAAAGUUCACUUGCAUUACUUAAGCAAUUUCUUCAUGAGCAUGUUCCUUUAUAAUAAUGCUAGUAUCUAAACCAGGCACUGGGGAUCCCUUCUCACUCGCUUCAUGCAAAUGCCCAGCAACCAUGUCUCCACCAACAUCACUGAUGUCCCCAAAAAUCAAAAUAAGAAUCCCGAUCGUGGCAGCCAAAAAUGAAACCCCAAAAGCAGUGCUCACAUUUCCACUGAUCGCUGAUGCCACAGCAAAGCCAGUACAAGUUCCUAGUGCUUUUACCCACGAGUGCCAUACAGAAAAAGCACCUUCUUUGCCAUGUGAUGUACAAUCUAGCAACAAAACUCUCCCAAAAGCAUGCAAAAGCCCUGCAGAAGUGCUUUGAAUUGCAGCAAAAAGCAGUACAUGGUGCCUCUGCCAGUUCUUUCCUUGGAGUAGAAUCCCGUACCUGAAGUCAACAGAGCUAAGAGGAAACCCAGAAAUUGCAUUCUCACAGCAUCUGCUUUGAUAACAUGUUGUAACGGAUGCAGUAGUGUCGUUGAAGAUGAUGGUAAUAUGAAGUAAAUUAUCCAUAAGUAGAGGAAAAGUAAAAAAAUAGCCCCAGUGAAAAUGCACAUUGAUGAAAAUCAUGACAUGAAAAUUACAAUCAGGCUUGUAAUUGCAUGAGGAUUUUUAAAAAGGGACAGUGAAUAUGAUUCGGGCAUAGAGGAGGUUGCGUUGGUGAUUGCCCCUGGCUCAGUGUGACAAUAUGGAGCAUGCCAACGAGCCAUUUGAGGACCCUGAAAAUGGACACAAUCCAGAGGCUAACAAAUGGGGCCUUUGUGUUCCUAAGCAUAUGGUAAGUGAAUGCUGAGAAAAUGGCAGAGCCUAAGCCACCACCAGCAGUGGCGUAUACCGAGAACCAGCCUGAGACCCCUCUUCUAGUUGGGGAUUGGCUAAGUUUAAGUGUUGGUCCAGUGUAGCCGCGAGCCAUAAGACCAAGAUGGCGAGUGUGGGAGGCUGAAGCAACAAUGUAUAAUGCAACAAUAGCUGCAAUAUAAAAUGGGAAGAUGCAUGGGGUUUUAAUGAAGCCAACAUGGAGACAAAAGAGGGAACCGAUGGCACUUGCAGCCCUAGCAAUGAGUUGUGGGUUGUAGCCAUGGUCAAGUUGCUUGGAGAUCAAGCCAAGGAAGGGACUAGCCAGAAUUAGGCCUAUAGCCCAUGAAAUUGAAGUCCAUUCCAUUGCUGAUAGAUUCAGAUUAUUCGUUGAUAUUGAUGUGUGUGUUAGUCAAUCAUACCUCCAAUAUAUGAAAAAUAUUUCAUCAUGCUAAAUAUGGACACAUUCAAAACUGACCCUCUGUCUAGUUUAACUGGCCAUGAAUGCGCUUUAUACCCGCGGUCACUCAAGUUUAAGUAAUAAUAAAUCAAGAGUAAGAGUUAAUGAAUUAAUUAAAGGAGAAUGAAUGAAACUUUAUUCCCACUAAGGUCUAAGAAGUUGUUUUUGUUCUUUGGGUUCCGAUAAAUUUUUAAUAGCAUAAUCUGUAAAUCUCUCAAUAUAAUCAUUUUGUAUAUGAAAAUUUCACAUUCACUUAAACAAUAUUUUUUUCUUGUCAAUAUUUUGAGCCAAAUGGUAAUUAAGAGUGAGAAAUUCAUUCUCCCAUAAUAAAAUUAAUAUGCAUAAUUGCAUCUUUUACGUUUUUUACUCUUUAACAGUCUUGGAAUCAAUUCGAUCUUUAAUCCAAUUUUUUGUGAAAAUUACACUCAUGUGCUUUGUAUAUAUAGAAUUUUGAUUGAAUAUUCUACUAAGUAACAAUCGAUGUAGCUAGAAAAAGAACUUACAGUUUGAUCUCUCCGAGAAUACAAGCAAUGCCCCUAGGGGUUUGUCGCCAACCUUGAUCAUCAUCAUCAUCAUCAUCAUUUUUAGAGACAAUUUCACUGAUGAUGAGAGGAAAAACAACGGGCACAACCGUUGUAACAAUGAAGUGUCCAAAUUUCAAGCUUCGAUGGCUUUUCUCGCAGCCCUGAGUAGGCCAUAUAAGCUCCCUCGGACCUCUCAAUUUUCAUUGCAGCAUCGUGUGCCUCAGGCAUGUCUUCAUUCACUUUCUGAUCCUCUACUGAUACCGAUAUUCCUUCAUCAUCACUUAGAACCUCAUGUUUUCUUUCUGCUGCCACCGCUGCUGCCAUAUUCACAUAUUAGUACCAAUUUGGAGGUUGCUUUGUGAAGUUAAAAAAAGGAGCUGAAUUGGCCAGACAUAUAUGUGUAAGUCUCAUUCUUUUUAACUUAUUUGUCUUCUCUCUUUAACGGCAAUGCCAAUUUUAGCAUCGCAUUCUGCUACAACUCAUGCUGAUCAAAGUGUUUCAUAUGAUUUCAAUUUUCCUCAUCACUUCUUUUGCACAGCAAUGAUCGAAUUCCCAGUGUAGAUUCCUUCAUCUGGAGCAAGGCGUUCUGAGCAGUGCUGCAAACAUCCAAGAUCAUAAAAGAUCCAUUUAACAGCUCAUCAACCCAUUUCUUCUUCUGGUGGCCGUUGGCUAAAGCUUGUUGAACGAGGGGCAAUUGAAGUGUUUUUUUUUUUCAACAGAAUCGCAUGAAUCUUGAAGGCAAUUUAAUUCAUGGCCUAAUGAUGAAGUAGAAACAGCUUGAGAAGUCCUUAAUCUUUACAAAUGCUCUUCAACUUCUGAAGUCUUUGAGUGCGAUCUUGUGGAAAGCUGUUUGAGCGAGUAUGGUAAGAGGCAGCCAUUGCUUUUUUUACUUUGAAUUAGAAGGUUAGAAGUUGAUUACCUUGUGCUCAAAUCUCAAUAUAUAUUGCACGAGAUGAGGGAACAAGAGGUAUGUCAUCCUCUUAAAAUAAAAAGAAACGAUAACAUGAUUUCGAGCCUGAUCUAAAUAUUGUAUCGGCUACUUUUAGGCUUAGUCUCCUCCCACACCAGCAUCCUAUCUCAGCUUUUUUAGCCACAAAUCUCACUAGUAUCUUCUCAUAAGCUAAUACUAAAUAAACAAAUGUUUCUGAGUGAUCCAUAAAAUAGGCAAUACAAGGAUGGCAUCAAUUCUGUUUCCUCUUCUAAAAUGCAAGAGACGCUAAUCCAGUUUGGCUUGGCUCCCCGCGGGAAAUAGGCAGAAUUGAUUUAUUUGAACUGGAUAUAAUAUGCAAAAUCUGCAGUGCAUGGGUAGUUAUGCCGCCAAAUUAAAGCAGGCCCAAAAAAGAUCUGCGCUGUUCAUUGCAGGCAUAUUUGGUGCCAAAUGAAUCGCUUGUUUCUUAAGAGACUGACUCCUCACACUAUAGUAACAACUAAUAACAUUCAUUGUCUGCAUUGAAAAAAAUUAACUGCAUAGGAAAACAAAUUAAAUUAAAACUCAGUUAAAUAAAAUAUUCCUAAACCCUAUAGACUUAAUUAAAAAAACUGAAAAAAAUGCAUGUUACAAUGGCCAAGGUAUCCUUCUAUAAUUGUCUACGAAGGUAGUAUUUUUUGAAUUAACCGCCCAUUACUGGGGAAUUAUGUGCCAGGGCGUUUGUCUUUACCCAUUCAAGGAAAUUCUGAAAUGUCUUGCGAGAGGAACCACCUUCUCUGAUGCUGCUCAUGGCUUUUUCCUUGAGUUCCAAAGCCCGUGCUUUAAAAUCUUGAUGACCAAGCACUUGAUCCACCUUGUUCUUAAUUUCUUCUCUUGUAAUGAUGCCACUUUCGUUUUUGUCAAACCUCAAUCCCACCUUCCAAAUAUCACAAAUGUAUUUCUCGUUCAGGAAUUGUUCAGCAAAAUAUGGCCAGCACAAGAAAGGAAUGCCAUUGCUAACACCUUCCAUGGUGGAAUUCCAACCACAAUGGCUCAGGAAACAGGCAAUAGAAGGAUGGUUAAGAACCUUCUGCUGAGGUGCCCAGCCGAUCAUCCGUCCUCGAGCAGAAACUCUCUCUUGGAAUCCGUCUGGGUAUCUAUCAUUUGCAUCAGUGGUAAUAUCUGGCCUUACAACCCAUAAAAAUGGUCUGUUGCAGAGUUCUAGUCCAAAUGCCAAUUCUUGAAACUGAACUUGGUCAAGAAUUGUAAAGCUGCCAAAAGCAGCAUAAAGGACAGAGCUCGGUUGCUGCUGGUCUAGCCACUCCAAACAGCUUGAGUCUUCGCGCCAGAAGUGUCCUGCUGAAUUCCCUAGACGGUUGCCAGCCAAAAGUGGUCCUAUUGGCAGAAGUUCCGGAACCACGGUGAAUGCCUCAGACUCGAGCUCAUACGUUGAGUGACACAACUGGAAAUUUACCGCUCUCAUUGCUCUCAUGUUUCUAUCCAGUAAAUCAAAAAUAAUCUUUUGCGUGUUCAAGUCACCAAUAUUUGUCCAAAAACAGUCUCCAGAGUUCAUUUCAGGCAUAUUUGGUGCAAUCCGAAACAUCUGCUUGCUCAUAGGAGUUCCUGAAGUUGAAUACAAACAAAAAAAAUUGCAAUAGCAUAAAAAAAAACUACUACUUUGACAUGCAUCAAAAUUAAAGCCUGCUGGAGGAAAGUCAGGAAUUAAAUGACAUAGAAUCAUACCAUUACUGUCAAUGAUUCCAUCAUCAAUAAGUUUGGGGAUAUGAAAUAGCAAGGCCACUGAUGCUGCUGAUGAAGGCCAAAAGAGAGCCCCCCUGACGUUCAUCUUUUUUGCUACUUCCAUAGACCAAGCCAUGUACCCAUCUGCAAUGAAACAAUCAAGUUUUUCAUCUUCUCUACUGUUGAUAUCUUCUAUGAGCUCCUCCAGCUUCCCCGGCAUAACCUGUAAAACUUUUUCAAAUAGCUUUCCGAAAUCGUUUCUAUCUUCCCAGGGUUCCAUUCCAUCUGGGAUCGAAACCAAACGGAUUUGCUCCCCAAGAUCAUUCUUUCCCUCCAAUGAUUCCAUUAUCCGCUUGUGAUCGUAAUCCGUGUUAACAAAUGUGACUCGGAAGCCCUGUUUCGCCAGACAUUGUGAAAACUCCAGUAAAGGAAUCACAUGGCCUUGCGCUGGAAUAGGCAAUACCAAAACAUGUGGACGGUUCAUUUUCUUUUUUAUUUUUACCUCGCUGAUUUGAUUGUUAUGAACUUGGUGCUUUUAUGGGGAUUGGGAGGGGCAGCUCAGUAGCCCAUGCUGGCUUUUCUGUCUUUCUUUCCGUACAUGUCGUGUAUCAUACGUUUUUAAUUUUGAACCUCAAGCUGGUUAUCUUCUUAUCUCCCGUUUUUAAGUUCUUUGUCCAUCUCUUUGUUUUGUUUCCUUCUGCGGUUUGGGUGAUAUGCUUGUUAAUAAAAUUCGUUUAUUAAAUAGCUUAUAAAUAAAUAGAAUAAUAAAUUAUCUUUUUAAUAGAAUUACUUUUUUGCCAUUAAAAUUCAAAAAAUUUUGUUUAAACAUUUUUAAGGUGUAAGGUUAGUUUUGUAAUUAUGAAAUGAUAAUAAGCCAAAAAUAUUAAUAAUAAUAAAGGUAAAGGCUUCAUCACUCAUCAGCCGACCCUUGCUCCACUCUUCAUUUUCCUACCUCCAUUGUUAUUUCUUUUACUUGAAUUUCAAGGACCUGUUUUUUCAUUCCCCAAACAAAAUGCCAAACGAAACACUCCCAAAAAUCAAAUUGUAAACGCAUAUUUAUUUAUUAAACGAGUGAAAUUUGAAUCUUGAGAUUAUAAUUCGUCUAAUAAACAAAUCAAAUCUAAAUUUAUUAAAUUUUGAUUUGAAUUCUAUUAAACAAUUCAUUUUGCUAUCUCUAGAGUUGAUACGCUUUAUGACCUUUGACCGCGCUAAUGAGCUAUGUUUAGAUAAUUUUUUUUAUUGACUACCCAAAUUAAAAUAUUAGAAAAGUUAUAUUAUUAUAAUUUUAUUUUAUUUUUCAAUGCAAAGAUAUUUUUACAUAACUUCUUGUGUUCACAAAGCAUUUCAAGUGAAGGCUUCUAAAGAUUUUCAAAAGUCAAAAGAUGCAGUUUUCUUUUGCUGCUUUUGUCCGCCACGUGGGAAUUAUUGAUCUCAACGUUUUACAGUUUUCUAUUUAACCCCAAGAUUUAUUUAAAAUCUUUAUGAUAUUACAAAUAUAUUAUUAAAAUACAUAUGAUAAUUUAAAAUUUUAAUAUUAUUUUAAAUGUCAAAAGUAAUUUAAUAUUAUUAGUCUACUAGAUAGAUUAUAUUACUUAUAUUAAAUUUGUGUUAAUUACAAAUUUUUAAAGUCAAUUUUCUAAUUAUUCUAGUUAAAGGGUAUUAUGAGCCAAAAAAAAGAUUUUAAUAUCCCAUUUUUUUUAAAAUUUGGGAGUCUUUUUGAUCAAUUCUCCAAAUUUUAGAAGUGUAAGCGUUAUUUUUCCUUCGGUAAAAUCAAAAUUACAUUAAUUCAAAGCAAUGACCAAUAAAAGUGCAAAAGGCACACAAGAAGCUGCUUACAUUUAACUGAAUAUGGGUUAUACUUUCUCAACCAAAAGAGAAAAAAGGAACCAAGAAAAGAGGGUAAAAAUAAAAAAAUCAUACAUGCCUCAAUUAUUUACUUAUAUAGGAUAACCGAUUUGACUAAUUGCGAAAGUUCACUUGCAUUACUUAAGCAAUUUCUUCAUGAGCAUGUUCCUUUAUAAUAAUGCUAGUAUCUAAACCAGACACUGGGGAUCCCUUCUCACUCGCUUCAUGCAAAUGCCCAGCAGCCAUGUCUCCACCAACAUCACUGAUGUCCCCAAAAAUCACAAUAAGAAUCCCCGAUCGUGGCAGCCAAAAAUGAAACCCCAAAAGCAGUGCUCACAUUUCCACUGAUCGCUGAUGCCACAGCAAAGCCAGUACAAGUUCCUAGUGCUUUUACCCACGAGUGCCAUACAGAAAAAGCACCUUCUUUGCCAUGUGGUAACGGAAACCCAGAAGUUGCAUUCUCACAGCAUCUGCUUUGAUAACAUGUUGUAACGGAUGCAGUAGUGUCAUUGAAGAUGAUGGGAAUAUGAAGUAAAUUAUCCAGAAGUAGAGGAAAAGAAAAAAAAUAACCCCUCAGUGAAAAUGCACAUUGAUGAAAAUGAUGACAUGAAAAUUACAAUCAGGCUUGUAAUUGCAUGAGGAUUUUUAAAAAGGGACAGUGAAUAUGAUUCGGGCAUAGAGGAAGUUGCGUUGGUGAUUGCCCCUGGCUCAGUGCGACAAUAUGGAGCAUGCCAACGAGCCAUUUGAGGACCCUGAAAAUGGACACAACCCAGAGGCUAACAAAUGGGCCCUUUUUGUUCCUAAGCAUAUGGUAAGUGAAUGCUGAGAAAAUGGCAGCGCCUAAGCCACCAGCAGCAGUGGCGUAUACCGAGAACAAGCCAGAGGCCCCUCUUCUAGUUGGGGAUUGGCUAAGUUUAAGUGUUGGUCCAGUGUAGCCGCGAGCCAUAAGGCCAAGAUGGCGAGUGUGGGAGGCUGAAGCAACAAUGUAUAAUGCAACAAUAGCUGCAAUAUAAAAUGGGAAGAUGUAUGGGGUUUUAAUGAAGCCAACAGGGAGACAAAAGAGGGAACCGAUGGCAGUUGCAGCCCUAGCAAUGGUCAAGUUGCUUGGAGAUCAAGCCAAGGAAGGGACUAGCAAGAAUUAGGAAUAUAGCCCAUGAAAUUGAAGUCCAUUCCAUUGCUGAGAGAUUCAGAUUAUUCGUUGAUAUUGAUGUGUGUGUUAGUCAAUCAUACCUGCAAUAUAUGAAUAAUAUUUCAUCCUACUAAACAUGGACACAUGCAAAACUGACCCUCUGUCUAGUUUAACUGGCCAUCAAUGCGCUUUAUAUCCGCGGUCACUCAAGUUUAAGUAAUAAUUAAUAAAGAGCAAGAGUUUGGCUAAUGAAUUAAUUAAAGGAGAAUGAAUGAAACUUUAUUCUCACUAAGGUCUAAGAAGUUGUUUUGGUUCUUUGGGUUCGGAUAAAUUUUAAUAGCAUAAUCAGUAAAUCUCUUAGUAUAAUUAUUUUGUAUAUGAAAAUUUCACAUUUACCUUAAACAAUAUUUUUUUUCUUGUCAAUAUUUUGAGCCAAAUGGUAAUUAAGAGUGAGAAAUUCAUUCUCCCAUAAUAAAAUAAAUAUGCAUAAUUGCAUCUUUUACGUUUUUUACUCUUUUCGUGCUAAGAAUCUUGGAAUCAAUUCGAUCUUUAAUCCAAUUUUUUGUGUAAAUUACACUCAUGCGCUUUGUAUAUAUAGAAUUUUGAUUGAAUAAUCUACUAAGUAAUUAUAGAUGUAGCUAGAAAAAGAACUUACAGUUUGAUCUCUCUGAGAAUACAAGCAAUGCCCCUUGGGGUUUGUCUUCAACCUUGAUCAUCAUCAUCAUCAUCAUUUUUAGAGACAAUUUCACUGAUGAUGAGAGGAAAAACAACGGCACAACCGUUGUAACAAUGAAGUGUCCAAAUUUCAAGCUUCGAUGGCUUUUCUCGCAGCCCUGAGUAGGCCGUAGGCCAUAUAAGCUCCCUCGUGUGCCUCAGGCAUGUCUUCAUUCACUUUCUGAUCCUCUACUGAUACCGAUAUUCCUUCAUCAUCACUUAGAACCUCAUGUUUUCUUUCUGCUGCCACCGCUGCUGCCGGUGCUGCCAUAUUCACAUAUUAGUACCAAUUUGAAGGUUGUUUUGUGAAGUUAAAAAAAGGAGCUGAAUUGGCUGCUGCCAUAUUCAAAUUUGAACGGUGAUUAAUUAAUAUUUGCAUGGGCAGCUGGUGCCGACACUUUCAAGAAUUCAAUUUGCCCGACAUAUAUGUGUAAGCCUCGGUUUGUUCAUAUGUACGAAGGUAUUUCGGUAUCAUUCCUUUUAACUUAUUUGUCUUCUCUCUUUCAUAGCAAUGCCAAUUUUUGCAUCGCACUCUGCUACAGCUCAUGCCGAUCAACAUGUUUCAUGUGAUUUCAAUUUUCCUCAUCCUCUCUUUUGCAUAGAACUGAUCGAAUUCCUAGUGUAGAUUCCUUCAUCUGCAGCAAGGCGUUCUGACCAGUGCUGCAAACAUCCAAGAUCCAUGGGUUAAAGCUUGUUGAACGGGGGGCAAUUGAAGUAUUUUUUUCAACAGAAUCUCAUGAAUCUUGAAGGCAAUUUAAUUCAUGGCCUAAUGAUGAAGUAGAAGCAGCUUGAGAAGUGCUUAAUCUUCUCAAAUGCUCUUCAACUUCUGAAGUCUGUGGGUGCGAUCUUGUGGAAAGUUGUUUCAGCGAGUAUGGUAAGAGGCAGCCAUUGCUUUUGUUGCUGUGAAUUAGAAGACUAGAAGUUGAGAUUACCUUGUCCUCAAAUCUCAAUAUAUAUAGCACGAGAUGAGGAUACAAGAGGUAUCUCAUCCUCUUAAAAUAAAACGAAAGAAUAACAUGAUUUCGAGCUUGAUGUAAAUAUUAUAUCGGCUACUUUUAGGCUUAGUCUCCUCCCACACCAGCAUCCUAUCUCAGUAUUUUUAGCCGCAAAUCUCACUAGUAUCUACACAUAAGCUAAUACUAAAUAAACAAAUGUUUCUGAGUGAUCCAUAAAAUAGGCAAUCCUAUACAAGGAUCGCAGCAAUUCUGUUUCCUCUUCUAAAAUGCAAGAGACGCUAAUCCAGUUUGGCUUGCCUCCCUGUAGGAAACAGAGUGGCUGCUGUGAAACUCGUGUGUCCUUGCAGAAUUGAGGCUGCACCUUGAAUACAUGGAUGGGUAGUUAAGUCUCCAAAUUAAAGCACGCCCAGAAAAGAUCUGCAGUGUUCAUUGCAGGUAAAUUUGGUGCCAAAUGAAUCACUUGCUUCUUAAGAGACUGACUCCUCACACUAUAGUUACGACUAAUAACAUUCAUUGUCUGCUAUGAAAAAAAUUACGUAAAUAGGAAAACAAAUUAAAUUACAACUCAGUUAAAUAAAAUAUUCCUAAACACUAUAAACAUAAUAAAAAAACUUAAAAGACGAAGGUUGUAUUUUUUGAAUUAACCGCCCAUUACCGGGGAAUUAUGUGCCAGGGUGUUUCUUUACCCAUUCAAGGAAAUUCUGAAAUUUCUUGCGAGAGGAACCACCUUCUCUGAUGCAGUUCAUGGCUUUUCCCUUGAGUUUCAAAGCCCUUGUUUCAAAAUCUUGAUCACCGAGCACUUGCUCCACCUUGUUCUUAAUUUCUUCUCUUCCAAUGAUGCCAUUUUCGUUUUUGUCAAACCUCAAUCCCACCUUCCAAAUAUCACAAAUGUAUCUCUCGUUCAGGAAUUGUUCAGCAAAAUAUGGCCAGCACAAGAAAGGAAUGCCAUUGCUGACACCUUCCAUGGUGGAAUUCCAACCACAAUGGCUCAGGAAACAGGCAAUAGAAGGGUGGUUAAGAACCUUCUGCUGAGGUGCCCAGCCGAUCAUCCGUCCUCGAGCAGCAACUCUCUCUUGAAAUCCUUCUGGGUAUCUAUCAUUUGCAUCGGUGGUAAUAUCUGGCCUCACAACCCAUAAAAAUGGUCUGUUGCAAAAUUCUAGUCCCAAUGCUAAUUCUUGAAACUGAACUUGGUCAAGAAUUGUAAAGCUGCCAAAAGCAGCGUAAAUGACAGAGCUUGGUUGCUGUUGGUCUAGCCACUCCAAACAGCUUGAGUCUUCGCGCCAGAAGUGUCCUGUUGUAUUCCCUAGACGGUUGCUUGCCAAAAGUGGUCCUAUUGGCAGAAGUUCCGGAACCACGGUGAAUGCCCCAGCCUCGAGCUCAUACGUUGAGUGACACAACUGGAAUUUUACCGCUCUCAUGGCUUUUAAGUCUUUAUCCGCUAAAUCAAAAAGAAUUCUCUCCGUGGUCAAAUCACCCAUGUCUGUCCAAAAACAGUCUCCAGCGUUCAUUUCAGGCAUAUUUGGUGCAAUCCGAAACAUCUGCUUGCUCAUCGGAGUUCCUGAAGUUGAAUACAAAACAAAGAAAAUAACAGUAGCAUAAAGUAAACUUCUACUAUGACAUGCAUCAAAAUUAAAGUUUGCUGGAGGAAAGUAAGGAAUUAGAUGACAUGGAAUCAUACCA